rnacentral:rRNA from 1 species
CAGUAGCCGCGGUAAUACGUAGGUCCCGAGCGUUGUCCGGAUUUAUUGGGCGUAAAGCGAGCGCAGGCGGUUAGAUAAGUCUGAAGUUAAAGGCUGUGGCUUAACCAUAGUACGCUUUGGAAACUGUUUAACUUGAGUGCAAGAGGGGAGAGUGGAAUUCCAUGUGUAGCGGUGAAAUGCGUAGAUAUAUGGAGGAACACCGGUGGCGAAAGCGGCCCUCUGGCUUGUAACUGACGCUGAGGCUCGAAAGCGUGGGGAGCAAACAGGAUUAGAUACCCCCGUAGUCCCUGGUCUCUUAUAC